AACGCGAAGAACCUUACCUGCCCUUGACAUCCUCGGAACUUGUCAGAGAUGACUUGGUGCCUUCGGAAACCGAGUGACAGGUGCUGCAUGGCUGUCGUCAGCUCGUGUCGUGAGAUGUUGGGUUAAGUCCCGCAACGAGCGCAACCCUUGUCCCUAGUUGCCAGCGGUUCGGCCGGGAACUCUAGGGAGACUGCCAGCGACAAGCUGGAGGAAGGCGGGGACGACGUCAAGUCAUCAUGGCCCUUAUGGGCAGGGCUACACACGUGCUACAAUGGCCGGUACAGAGGGUUGCCAACCCGCAAGGGGGAGCCAAUCCCAGAAAGCCGGUCGUAGUCCGGAUCGGAGUCUGCAACUCGACUCCGUGAAGUCGGAAUCGCUAGUAAUCGCGAAUCAGCAUUGUCGCGGUGAAUACGUUCCCGGGUCUUGUACACACG
rnacentral:rRNA from 1 species